GCUGACCAGGCUGGUCUUGAACUUCUGAUCUCAGAUAAUCCGGCUGCCUCGGCCUCCCCAAGAGCUGGGAUUAAAGGCGUGGGCCACCAUGCCCAGACAGGUUUGGGACCCUCUCGCUGGACAAGAUUCCCGGGCUCGCGUUCAGUUCACAACAGCUGGUGCCCCGAACGUGGGACCUGGACAUGAGGGAUAACCGUGACGCCUACAAACUUUAGAGGUGAAGCUGCAGCGUAAAUCACAGAAACCACUCACACUCCUUGACUUGGUCACAUUUUUCAUCAUGAAAGCCAGCAACCCCAGGCCAAGUCUUUCCUGAAUUCUCUCUGGAAGGUAACUAUGCUCACUACUAUACCACCAACAAUCAGGUUAU
rnacentral:lncRNA from 1 species